rnacentral:lncRNA from 1 species
UAAUCACACGGACAGAGUCUCCCCUGUAUUUGCACGGCGUCGCACAAGUACAAUAAGUAAACUGAAUACAACCACAACUAAAUGAAUAUAGAAACAAUUAUACAAUCAUUCAUUCACCAUUCACAUCACAAUUAUACAUUCAAUGUUUAACAUAAAUCUACACCUAUCAGUUAAAAACGUUUUCAACCCAGAAACAGGUUUUGAAAUGCUAAGAUACAAAAUCCACAGAAAACCUUUUAAAAACUGUUCCCUACACGGGAACUUUUAUCUUUUAGAAACGCUACCACGAGGGGUAGAAAAUCAUUCAACAUUUGAAAUCCACAAAUCCUUUUUAUUACAUCAUAAAUCCAACUGAAAAUUCAGAUAUUCAACUACUAUAACAAAAACUGAACUAUAAUAUGUCUAAGUUAUUUAUUCAAGCAUGAAGGGUAAAGAAAUAACCGACACGGGACGGAGCUCUAUCGUACGCUAGAAAUGCUCCUCACCAGCUGUCCCACUUGGACCUGCGACGUCACCUGUAAUGGGGGCGGGGGGGUGAGAACAUGUAAACAUAUCUCCCUCUCCUUCCAGUGGGUACCGCAAGCCGACGAGGGCGAGGGGUACUCACUAGUCAGGAGAUAAACAAGGAUAUGAAUAAUGGUAAUACAGUAGCUAAGAUAAACAAGUAAUGAAAUGUGUAUAGAUAAACCACUACAGGUACUGUAUGCGUGCAUCAAAUCAGUCCAAAAGUACCCAAUAUGAAACCAAUGCUCUCUUGGUCCGCACCGCAAACCUCAAGCCAGUGCCACUACUACUCUACCAUGCAUAUAACCCCUCUAGGGCUCACGGAUUGACAACUGCAACCAUUUUUCCGGAAAAGAACACCCCUUGCGGUGGAUCAGACCGCCAGUGUUCGUGAAAUGCGACGAGUAUCGGGCGAUCAAUGCAAUAUGCUCAAUGAUCAACCGUCGGCAACUAGCCGACAAUCCUGCCCCCCAGGGCACACCAGCCAUAUGGGUCAUCAUGUAAUCAAAUCAACCAACCAGGUCACAAGUAUAGGAGAUGCAAUGUCCACAAGUAUAGGAGAUGCAACGUCGACCAACCAGGUCAUGGAGAUCACAUAGGAGAAUAGACCAACCAAAUCAUAGAUGCAAAUAGGAGAACCGACCAACCAGGUCACAGAUGCAAAUAGGAGAACCGACCGACCAGGUCACAAAUAUCAUAUACAGAUAAAGUUUACUAUACUCCUACACAUGAUACUACAUCUGGCAACAACUAAGUAGAGUAAAUAAGGAAAUAGCAUGGGUGUAAGGCUCAACAUGUAUAAGGUAAAUGAUAUACACAACAAGGGUAAAGGAAACGUCACCGAGCGUGCACCACUGUACCGACGUCGGAACGAAGUACCCACCUGUAUGUGUCUGACGAAAAUCUCUCGACUGUGAAGACGGUGCAACCGAACCUACGAAAGGUCCACCGGGUUAGAACCUAACCCACUAACACAUAUCGCUAACUCACAAUCCCACAAUCAUAGCCCUUCGGGAAUCGGUUUUCCAAAACCGAUUGCCGAACUCACCAGAAGUCACAAAAAAACUGCACCGGGACUCCGCCGGGACCCACGAACCGUCCCAAAACUACCCAACUCAUCAUAUGAGUUGCUCGCUGCCGCUAAACACCUAUUUUAGUGUGACAAGGCAGCAAAGACGCUAACUCGAUGCGGAACGAUUAUCGUCGGAUAAUCGUUUCGAUUCGGGUUCCCGGAAAUGUCUAUUUCGACACCGGAACCCGCCGUCGCUCACUCGUCGUUUCUGAACCCUCGAAACGACACGGGUGACAAGCCAACAAGGCUCAGCGACACUACAAUCAACCACGAGGCACUGUCGGAUGAAUUUCGAAUCGAAAACGCGUUCUAUCAGCGGAUUUCGCCGAAAAACGCUCCAGAAAUCACUUUUCGAUUUUCGCAAAAGCUUGGGGCCUUGGACGAUCAGUCCAGAGGUUAUCCUCAGCCUACCCUUGCUGCCAACAUCAUCUACAUCGAAGCAAAAACCCUAAAAGCCCUUACCGAUACGUGAAAUCACAUCAUUUUAUGUGAUUUCUAGGCUUUUCUGGACCGUGCACGCAAACCAGAGAUCGAUUCAGCAAACCGUCGCGCUCGCUGAUAGGUUUCAGCGUGCCAGAGGCCGUGCUCACCUUUCGGAGAACUGCCGGCCACUAUGGCACGCGCACGAGCGACACGAAACUCAGUGAAACAGCGCGCACAGCGCUAAGAUUGCCAUUAAUGCACAAUCCAGGGCAUCUCUGUCCCUGUUGGAGGUGAGCAAGAUGUUCAGCACGUGUUGUAGAUCAUCGUGCUCACUUCCCUAGGUCUAGAAGGCUUAACGGAUCACCGAAAAGGUGACCGAAAUCUCAGACUUUAGUGCUGGAACAUAAAACAGCCUUACCAGAACCGGGGAGAGCUAGGGUUGGUCGCCGACGGUCGGACGGCGGGCGGUCCAGCUAGGGGAGGGCGCGGCCGGUAGGUGAGUUCCGGGGCACUCGUUGGCCGGUGGCUGGAGGCGGCCGGUGGCGCGGCGGCGGAGAUCAACUCCCUAAGGCUGCUCACGGGUUCAAGGGCGCCGACAGCAAGGCGGCGGCCGAAGGAGCUUGGGGCGGCGACGAUUCGACGCCGGAGGCCGAGGGAGAGGCGGUGCACCCUUCGUUGGACGGCGGCGGCGCUUGGAAGUCGAGCGGACUCGACCUCGGUCCGCACCAACCCAGGACGGCCGCAAGCUGCACAAGCGGCGGCCGGCGGUCCACGGGGAUGGCCGGGAUGGCGAGCAGGAGGUCGCCGGAGGUGCGGGGAUAGCGCUGGGGAUGGGCCUGUGCCAGGGGAUGUUGAAGCUCGGGCUUUGAUGCCUUCCCGAGCACAACAGCUGAGCUGGUGGCGAGGUGGGUCUAACGAGGAGUUGAGGGGAGGCCGGGGUGGCUUUUCCGGCGGCCGGAGCUGCUCGUCGGCGGUCCCGAUGUGCGAAUUGGCAGGGCAUGGUGUAGGUAGGGCAGCUAGGGUUAGCUAGGUGAACGUGGGCAGCCAAAGAACCAUGAAAAACCCUAGAUGUUACUUUUAUACAAGGUGUCAUUUUGCGAGGAACCCCUUCAAAGUCAAAUAAUUAUAAUCCUGCCCCUGCCCGCAUGUGUAACUUGCAUGCCAGCCCAUCAACAUUCGAAAUCUCGUGAAACAGCGCAUAAAAUAUAGGGUCUUUUCGCGAUUAAUCGAUUUUGCCAAAUUGACCUCUCAGCGGACUUUUCACAAUUUCCGAAGAUCCGCCCGUCGGAUUUCCGAACGGAUUGCGCCAGCGCGUUCAGAAUGACUGGGGCAUCGAAUCUAGCAUCUUACUUUGUCCGAUUUGGUUUUCGAUUUGCGUCAAAACCAUCCCUCUUUUGUUUUCACUAUGUAGCCACUUAUAUUACUACACGUGAAACCAAUCAAACCCCUUUUUUCUCGACAACCGUGCAUCAGAAUCCAAUUUCGUCAGUGCCAUUGGGUCCAGAAUGGUCGAACCGUUCGAAACGAGCUAUUGGAGCACUAUGAUCGGAGUCCAAUGUGCACCAGAACCGUCUUCUACUCACUGGCUUCGCCGGGAAGCCAGAGUUACUAUUCACUCUAAGUUAUCGGUUCAGGUUGCAUAACUUCUCCAUCUUAACUCGUUUUCACCUGAAAUUUGACAAGUGCUUAUGUAAUUAUAUUACACAUAAAAAUAUUGUCAACAAAGGGUUUAAUUUUUAUUACUAAAAAUCUCGGUUAUUACAUCAUUCCCCCCUUACAAGAAGUUUCGUCCCCGAAACUUAAAUCAAGGAUCCCCCGUGAAUAGCUGCGGAUAACUCUCCCGCAUAGAAGACUCAAGCUCCCAUGUAGCCUCGCGCUCCUCGUGAUUUGCCCACUGAACUUUUACAUACGGAAUGCUCCUGUUCCGUAAUUGCUUCACUUCACGUGCCAAAAUCCCCAAUGGAGCCUCAUCAUAGCUCAGAUCCUCCCGUAGCUGAAUAGAUGUCGGACUAAUGAUGUGAGACGGAUCUGGAAUGUAUUUCCGCAACAUGGACACAUGAAAGACAUUGUUCACCCGGGUGAGACUUGGAGGAAGAGCCAAUCUGUACGCUACCGGACCGAUGCGCUCCAGGAUCUCAAACGGUCCCACGAACCGCGGACUUAGCUUGUUCCGCAAACCGAACCGCUUGAUCCUCUUGGAUGGCGACACCUUGAGCAACACAUGCUCACCGACCUGAAACUCCAGGUCACGCCUCUGCUGAUCCGCGUAUCUCCUCUGUCGACUCUGUGCAGUCAGAAGCCGCUCUCUCGCAAUGCGGAUCUUCGCCAACGCAUCCUCCACUAAGUCUGGCCCGAUCAACCGACGUUCUCCGACGUCGUCCCAACAGAUAGGAGACCGACAUCGACGCCCAUAUAAAGCCUCGUACGGUGCCAUCCCGAUGCUCGCCUGGUAGCUGUUAUUAUAGGAGAACUCCACCAACGGUAGAUAUCGGAACCAUCCAUCACCGUAAUCCAGGAUACAUGCGCGGAGCAUGUCCUCAAGAGUCUGGAUGACUCGCUCUGACUGUCCGUCGCUCUGGGGAUGGAAUGCCGUACUGAAGUUCAACUUCAUACCCAUAACCUAUUGCAAGCUCCUCCAGAAGUGGGAAACAAAGCGAGUGUCCCGAUCAGACACAAUCGACACUGGCACACCAUGAAGCCGAACAAACUCGUCAAUGUAUAACUGUGCUAGUCGAUCACGGGACCACGUUGUAUGCAUCGGCAAGAAGUGAGCCAAUUUCGUCAGCCGAUCAACUAUAACCCAGAUCACAUCAUGGCCUCGCUGUGAUCGAGGCAAUCCGGUGACGAAAUCCAUAGUGAUCUGCUCCCACUUCCAUACGGGGAUCGGAAGUGGUUGCAGCUUUCCUGCUGGUCGCUAAUGCUUAGCUUUCACCUGCUGACAAAUCAAGCACCGAGCCACGUGCUGAGCCACAUCAAGCUUCAUCCCAGGCCACUAGAAAUUCUGCUUCAGGUCGCGGUACAUCUUGGUUCCUCCUGGGUGAACUGUGUAAGGGGAUCGGUGCGCCUCGGAUAGGAUGUCGUUCCUCAGCUCCGAGUCAUUGGGCACACACCAUCUGCCUUUAAAGCGCAGAGAUCCAUCAGUGUGGAUAUUGAAGUCCCCGUCCUUACCCUGCUCGACCUCCGCCCGCACUUUCUGUAAGUACGGGUCACUCUACUACCCAAGCAAAAUCCGCUCCGUCAAAGUAGGCUGUAUCACCAGAGUCAUCAAUUGGGCCGUGGCCCCGGUGGAAACAACCUUGAUCUCCAGACGGCGGAACUCCACGAGUCGAUCCUGGCUCGUGAUCAUAAUGGACAACGAAGCUGAAGGCUGUUUCCGGCUCAAGGCGUCCACCACCGCGUUCGCCUUUCCCGAAUGGUACUGGAUCGUGAGAUCGUAGUCCUUUAAGAGCUCGAGCCAACGUCUCUGCCUGAGGUUCAACUCCUUCUGUGUGAAAAGGUACUUCAGGCUCUGAUGAUCGGUGAAUACCUCGCAGUGUGCUCCAUAUAGAUAGUGCCUCCACAGCUUUAGGGCAAACAUUACCGCCGCGAGCUCUAGAUCGUGAGUCGGAUAGUUCUUUUCAUACGACUUUAGCUGUUGAGAUGCGUAAGCGAUGACCCGAUCCUGCUGCAUAAGCACGCACCCCAGACCGACCCAGGAGGCGUCACAAUAGACCACAAAAUCCUCACCAGGUCGCGGCAGAGUAAGAACGGGUGCGCGGGUCAAUCGAUCCUUCAGCUCAUCAAAGCUCUGCUGGCACUGCUCGGUCCACUGAAACCGUUCUCCUUUUCUGGUAAGCUUGUUUAGCGGUGCGGCGAUCUUGGAGAAGCCCUCAACGAAUCGCCGAUAAUAACCCGCCAAACCCAGAAAGCUCCGGACUUCAGUCACCGAAGUCGGUUCAGGCCACUCGACCACUGAGGCUAUCUUCUUUGGAUCCACCGUAAUGCCCGAUGGAGUCACAAUAUGCCCUAAGAAAGAUACCUCGCGGAGCCAGAACUCGUACUUCUUGAGCUUACCAUAUAGCUUGUGCUCUCGAAGUAUCUGCAGUACUCGUCGGAGAUGAUCCUUGUGCUCCUCAUCACUCCGCGAGUAAAUCAGGAUGUCGUCAAUGAAGACCACGACAAACUGAUCCAAGUAUGCCCGAAAGACCCUAUUCAUCAUAUCCAUGAAAGCUACCGGGGCAUUGGUGAGCCCAAACGGCAUCACCGUGAACUCGUAGUGGCCGUAUCGAGUUCUAAAGGCGGUCUUCGACACAUCCUCAUCCCGGAUCUUAAGCUGAUGGUACCCGGACUGUAGGUCGAUCUUCGAAUACACCGAUGAUCCAUGAAGCUGAUCGAAGAGAUCCUCAAUCCGGGGUAGUGGAUACUUGUUCUUCACAGUGACCUUAUUAAGCUCCCGGUAGUCGAUGCACAGUCGAAGACUACCAUCCUUCUUUUUGACAAAGAGGACUGGGGCACCCCCAAGGAGACACGCUAGGGCGGAUAAACCCUCUCUCCAGAAGAUCCUCAAGUUGAGCCUUCAACUCUUUCAGCUCAGCGAAGGCCAUGCGAUAGGGGGCCUUCGAGAUCGGUGCCGUGCCUGGAACUAGCUCGAUGAAGAAGUCGAUCUCCCGGUCCGGAGGCAUUCCCGGAAGCUCAUCUGGAAAGACAUCCGGGAAUUCCUGAACAACUAGAAUAUCCUCCAAUGGUGGUGCAGCUCGGUGGGUGACAUCUACUGAAGCCAGGUAGGCUACACAUCCCGCAUUCAUAAGCCUCUUUGCUCUAGCUGAAGAGAUAGACGCGGCAAAAUAGGAGCUCUUACAUGCUCGGUAUACGAAUACUUCUUCGCCGGGCCCGAUAAAUGUCACCGUCCUCCGCUCGCAGUCGAUGGUAGCGUGGUGCCUGGUAAACCAGUCCAUCCCAAUCACCACGUCGAACUUCUUCAUGGGAAGUACCACCAGGUUCGCCAGGAAGCUCCGAUUAUCCAAAAUGACAGGGUACGAUAGGAUGCACCGAUCAGCUAAUAGGUCACCUCCAGGCGUGUCAAUACGGAGCGGCACGUCUAGUGGACGCGAGGAAAUACCAUGCUCACAUGCAAAUGAAUGCGAAAUGAAUAAGUGCGAUGCUCCAUUAUCGAAUAUAGCUCUAGCACGAGUAAUGCAGAGGGUAACAAUACCUGCAAGGACGUCACCAUCAUUGUUGCCUUCGUGCGCGCCCCCUCGUUUUGGCGUGAGGAGGAGGGACGCCUAAACGAAGCAGCUGCGCUUGGAGCUCAACGGUUCUGUCGGGAUGCAGCUGGGGAGGAGGCAGCACUCUGAUUAGCCACAUUUCUCUUAGGGCAAUGUGCUUGCAGGUGGCCCGGCUGACCACAAUGGAAACAGUUGUCCCUCCUCUGCGGACAGUCGGUCACCCGGUGUGCUUGCCCACAAAUCACACGGGGUUGACCGCCCCGUCGCUGACUGCCGGAGGGUGCACUCUUCGCCGACUGCUGAGUGCGAGGAUGCUUCGGUGGCUUUUUGCUGAAAGAAGAGCCACUGCUAGACUUAGAAUGGGAACGCUUCCUGUCCCCUGAUCGCUAGGAUGCAUCGCGAUCAGCUCGCAUCUCCUCUGACUCGCUCUGCACUAUAAGAGCCCGGUCGAAAGACUCGUCGAAGGGUAUCAUGCCAUUGGACGCGACCAAGAGCCGAAUGUUGGGCCUCAGCCCCCUGAUAAAAAGCUUGGCCUUGUGGUACUCGUCCCGCACCGCGAAGGGAAUCAGCCCGACGAUGCAGCUGAAAUCUCGCUCGUACUCCGCCACAGUACGGUUACCCUGCUUAAGGCGCUCCAGCUCGCGCUCCAAGUUCUGCUUCGUACUGUCCUUGAAGUACUGCUCAUUUAGGAGUCUCCGAAACUCAUCCUAGGGUGGAUAGAUGCUUGAGAGCUUGUUCACGAAGUGGCGGAUCCACCAUGCAUACGCAUCCCUCUCAAGGCAAUGAGCGGCCAGAGGAACGCGAUCCUGCUCCUCAAUAUGGAGAUCGCGAAAUAGUUUCUCCAUGUGGGUGGCCCAGUGCUCGAUCACCCAUGCAUCGUCAUUCUUCCUAGCGAACUUAGGCGGAUCGAACUUUCUAAACUGGACCAACUUCGCACGCAUGUGAUCGCCCUCCACUGCAGAGGUAUUAGCACCCCCAGCGAAAACCGUCGUGGUAGUCGUCGUCGUCGUCGUGCCAGUCGGAGCUGUAGCCGGUGGAGGUAUCAUCGAGUGUCCGCAGUAACUGGAGCCGGCUGUGUCGGAGGUGGAGCCGGGGGAGCAGCAGCUGCAGUCUGCUGCUGUAUAAACUACUGGAACAUCCCCGAGAGGGCCGUCAGCUGACCCCUCAUCGCUGCUACCUCGGCCUCAAGCUGCUAGGUACGCGCAUCACCCAACUGCUCGGGGCCGACCUGCUUCCCUCCACCCCUGCCCCUCGGGACACGCCCUCCAGGACUGUUCGAUGCCCCCUCAGUGGCGCAUCCACCGCCACGACCCCGACGAGGAGGUCUACCAGGACCACGAGCCAUCUGCAACAGAAAACACCGUCAGCCGAAUAAUCGACUUCGACUACUACCAACCAGGACUCGAGCCCAAACCCCGCACUCACAUGCUUAUACAUCGUAGGUCUUCCUAAAGGUCAACCUAACCAAUGGUUCAGUUUAUUUUUAUUUUCAAAAUAACCUGUGAAUGGUGUUGUGGUUGUAACUUGGCUCUGAUACCACUUUAAUCUGUAACGCCCCGGGGUCCAUUUUUGUUUGAAAACACAGCGGAAAUAGCUAAAUUUUUUUUUUUUUUUAAAGACCUGACUCUAGGGUAUGCCAGAUCCGCCACAAAUACAGAGAGUUCACAGAUCACACGGACAGAGUCUCCCCUAUAUUUGCACGGUGUCGCACAAGUACAACAAGUAAACUGGAUACAACCACAACUAAAUGAACAUAGAAACAACUAUACAAUCAUUCAUUCACUAUUCACAUCACAAUUAUACAUUCAAUAUUUAACAUAAAUCUACAUCUAUCAGUUAAAAACGUUUUCAACCCAGAAACAGGUUUUGAAAUACUAAGAUACAAAAUCCACAGAAAACCUUCUAAAAACUCUUCCCUACACUGAAACUUUUAUCUUUUAGAAACGCUACCACGAGGGGUAGAAAACCAUU